UACGAAGGGGGCUAGCGUUGCUCGGAAUCACUGGGCGGUAAAGCGCACGUAGGCGGCUUUUUAAGUCAGGGGUGAAAUCCUGGAGCUCAACUCCAGAACUGCCUUUGAUACUGAGAAGCUUGAGUCCGGGAGAGGUGAGUGGAACUGCGAGUGUAGAGGUGAAAUUCGUAGAUAUUCGCAAGAACACCAGUGGCGAAGGCGGCUCACUGGCCCGGUACUGACGCUGAGGUGCGAAAGCGUGGGGAGCAAACAGG
rnacentral:rRNA from 1 species